UUAAAUUGAAGAGUUUGAUCAUGGCUCAGAUUGAACGCUGGCGGCAGGCCUAACACAUGCAAGUCGAACGGUAACAGGAAACAGCUUGCUGUUUCGCUGACGAGUGGCGGACGGGUGAGUAAUGUCUGGGAAACUGCCUGAUGGAGGGGGAUAACUACUGGAAACGGUAGCUAAUACCGCAUAACGUCGCAAGACCAAAGAGGGGGACCUUCGGGCCUCUUGCCAUCAGAUGUGCCCAGAUGGGAUUAGCUAGUAGGUGGGGUAACGGCUCACCUAGGCGACGAUCCCUAGCUGGUCUGAGAGGAUGACCAGCCACACUGGAACUGAGACACGGUCCAGACUCCUACGGGAGGCAGCAGUGGGGAAUAUUGCACAAUGGGCGCAAGCCUGAUGCAGCCAUGCCGCGUGUAUGAAGAAGGCCUUCGGGUUGUAAAGUACUUUCAGCGGGGAGGAAGGGAGUAAAGUUAAUACCUUUGCUCAUUGACGUUACCCGCAGAAGAAGCACCGGCUAACUCCGUGCCAGCAGCCGCGGUAAUACGGAGGGUGCAAGCGUUAAUCGGAAUUACUGGGCGUAAAGCGCACGCAGGCGGUUUGUUAAGUCAGAUGUGAAAUCCCCGGGCUCAACCUGGGAACUGCAUCUGAUACUGGCAAGCUUGAGUCUCGUAGAGGGGGGUAGAAUUCCAGGUGUAGCGGUGAAAUGCGUAGAGAUCUGGAGGAAUACCGGUGGCGAAGGCGGCCCCCUGGACGAAGACUGACGCUCAGGUGCGAAAGCGUGGGGAGCAAACAGGAUUAGAUACCCUGGUAGUCCACGCCGUAAACGAUGUCGACUUGGAGGUUGUGCCCUUGAGGCGUGGCUUCCGGAGCUAACGCGUUAAGUCGACCGCCUGGGGAGUACGGCCGCAAGGUUAAAACUCAAAUGAAUUGACGGGGGCCCGCACAAGCGGUGGAGCAUGUGGUUUAAUUCGAUGCAACGCGAAGAACCUUACCUGGUCUUGACAUCCACGGAAGUUUUCAGAGAUGAGAAUGUGCCUUCGGGAACCGUGAGACAGGUGCUGCAUGGCUGUCGUCAGCUCGUGUUGUGAAAUGUUGGGUUAAGUCCCGCAACGAGCGCAACCCUUAUCCUUUGUUGCCAGCGGUCCGGCCGGGAACUCAAAGGAGACUGCCAGUGAUAAACUGGAGGAAGGUGGGGAUGACGUCAAGUCAUCAUGGCCCUUACGACCAGGGCUACACACGUGCUACAAUGGCGCAUACAAAGAGAAGCGACCUCGCGAGAGCAAGCGGACCUCAUAAAGUGCGUCGUAGUCCGGAUUGGAGUCUGCAACUCGACUCCAUGAAGUCGGAAUCGCUAGUAAUCGUGGAUCAGAAUGCCACGGUGAAUACGUUCCCGGGCCUUGUACACACCGCCCGUCACACCAUGGGAGUGGGUUGCAAAAGAAGUAGGUAGCUUAACCUUCGGGAGGGCGCUUACCACUUUGUGAUUCAUGACUGGGGUGAAGUCGUAACAAGGUAACCGUAGGGGAACCUGCGGUUGGAUCACCUCCUUACC
rnacentral:rRNA from 1 species